CCUACGGGAGGCAGCAGUGGGGGAUAUUGCACAAUGGGGGGAACCCUGCUGCAGCGACGCCGCGUGGGUGCAGAAGCGCCUCGGCGCGUAAAGCCCUGUCAGCAGGGAAGAAAAUGACGGUACCUGAAGAAGAAGCACCGGCUAACUACGUGCAAGCGGCCGCGGUACUACGUAGGGGGCAAGCGUUAUCCGGAUUUACUGGGAGUAAAGGGGGCGCAGACGGCGAUGCAAGCCAGGAGUGAACGCCAGGGGCCCAACCCCGGGACUGCUCUUGGAACUGCGUGGCUGGAGUGCAGGAGGGGCGGGCGGAAUUCCUGGUGUAGCGGUGAAAUGCGUAGAUAUCAGGAGGAACACCUGUGGCGAAGGCGGCCGGCUGGACUGCAACUGACGUUGAGGCCCGAAAGCGUGGGGAGCAAACAGGAUUAGAUACCCGAGUAGUC
rnacentral:rRNA from 1 species